GAUGAAGAACGUAGCGAAAUGCGAUAAGUAAUGUGAAUUGCAGAAUUCAGUGAAUCAUCGAAUCUUUGAACGCACAUUGCGCCCUCUGGUAUUCCGGAGGGCAUGCCUGUUCGAGCGUCAUUUCGACCCUCAAGCAUUGCUUGGUGUUGGGGCACCGCCUGUAAAAGAGCGGGCCCUGAAAUCUAGUGGCGAGCUCGCCAGGACCCCGAGCGUAGUAAUUAUAUUUCGUUCUGGAAGGCCCUGGCGGUGCCCUGCCGUUAAACCCCCAACUUCUGAAAAUUUGACCUCGGAUCAGGUAGGAAUACCCGCUGAACUUAAGCAUAUCAAUAAGCGGAGGA
rnacentral:misc_RNA from 1 species